GCCAAAUUAGCUUAGUUGGUAGAGCAACUCAUUCGUAAUGAGUAGGUCGUAGGUUCGAUCCCUAUAUUUGGCACCA
rnacentral:tRNA from 1 species